GAUGAACGUUGGCGGCGUGCCUAAUACAUGCAAGUCGAACGAAGACUGUAGUAAUACUGUCUUAGUGGCGAACGGGUGAGUAACGCGUGGGUGACCUGCCCCGAAGUGUGGGAUAACAGUCCGAAAGGAUUGCUAAUACUGCAUAAUAUCCAAGAGAUUAGAUGCUUUUGGAUUAAAGGAUUUAUUCGCUUCGAGAGGAGCCUGCGUCCCAUCAGCUAGUUGGUAGGGUAACGGCCUACCAAGGCAAUGACGGGUAGGGACCUGAGAGGGUGGCCCCCCAAAUGGAACUGAAACACGGUCCAUACACCUACGGGUGGCAGCAGUAGGGAAUAUUAGAAAUGGGCGGAAGCCUGAUCUAGCAACACCGCGUGUGCGAUGAAGGCCUUGGGUCGUAAAGCACUUUUUGGAGGGAAUAGGAAGGAAGGUACCUCCAGAAUAAGUCUCGGCUAACUACGUG
rnacentral:rRNA from 1 species